rnacentral:lncRNA from 1 species
AUUUUUUGACCGCGCGAAGCGGCUAACUUCACUAGUAUAUAAUAAACCAAAAUAAAUCAUAUUACCCAAAUAUAAUACAAAAGCUUCCAUAAUUUUAACAAUUUCAGCUCCCAUUGAAAUCAACAAAGAGCAUAAAAAAAUGUCCACUAAUGACUUGUAUGAAAUUAUAGAAACAGGAAACAUGCCAUCAGAGGCAAGUACUAGUAAUAGUAUUGAAAAUGAUUUUGAUCAUGACUAUAAUAAGAAUGAAGAUCGACCACAUCUUGAUUCGAGGCUACUAGAACUCUUGGCAUCAUUGGGGGAAGUCUAUGUGAAAAGAAGAGAAUUGAUCAAGAAAAUGAAUUAUGAACAAUCAAUGGAGGUGUUCAAGAAAAUGAAGGUUACAAUAAGAAAGAACAAGAAGUGGAAAACUCAAACUACCAUGAACAGAAGUUUAAGGAGAUGGGAUUAUAAAUGAAAAAUUUAAGAUCAAGACUCCUCAUGUUGUUAUAGUUACUACUAGACCAAAUGGUUAAAGUGGUCACAAUGACCAAGUCAAUAAUGGUUUCAACAAUUCUAGCUAGACACUUACUUUUUUCAUCAUAGUCGAGUCUUGUAUUUUUAAUAAAAAAUUACUACCUGUUGGUAUGUGCCGCUUUCUUGAUUAUCAAAAGAUAGCAGAGCAUCUGAUAGCAUUCAGGCUAGUCCACUUGUAUUAAGAUUGACGGGCUUUAAUGAAAUCCAGAAGAUGCUUAUGAUGGAAGAAGAGCCCAAGAACGAGUCCAAGAAUUAUGGAGAAAAAUGGGCAAAGUGCCACACAUAUUUUAUGAUUCAAGUCCAAGCCCAAAAGGAAGAAGAUUGAGCUCAUAUGGGUUGUGAGUAAAUUUUAAAACUUUUUCUUAUUUUAUUAGAAGAGAAUUUUUGGUAUUAUUUUUACAUACUUUCCUAGUUCUAGUAGGAUUUUAUUUAUUAUUUCCAUAAUAGUAGAUCCUAAUCCCAUGCUAUUUGGGAUAGCUUUUUCCUAGUAUAAAGGUAGAUUUCAAUCCCAUGCUAUUUGAGAUAGGUUUUUCCCUAUAUAUAGGGAUGAAUUUUGUUAUUUUUAAUGAGACAAUAAUAUUAUUAAUUGAGAGUUUCUCUUAUUUACACCUUUGUGUGUGACUAUUUGGGAUUUAUCUUGCAACCUUAUAAGAACGAUUCUUUAGGGGGUAAGAUUAAUUCUUAACUUGAUAUCUUUGAAUUAUAUUAAAGUUAAUUAAAGAAGGUGAUUAGUCUUAUACUAAUUGUUGUCUUUAAUUUCUUCAAAAUAGGGGUCUAGAUCACCUUUGGAUCUAAGUUCUUGAAUUGACUCUAUUGGUAUCACAAUUAGUCUUAAUCCACUAAUUUUGAAUACUAAGAUCAAUUAGAGUUCUUAGCACUUCAUCUAAAAAUUGGGAAUUUAUUCUCAAAUUUCAUCUAUCAUUAAUUUCUUGUCUUUAAUCUUAGUAUUUUUUCUUUCGCAUUAUUUUCUUGUUUAUUAACGUAACCCGAUUCUUAUCAAGUGGUAUCAUAGUGGUUCUAUCAAGGUUCUGUUCUUGAUGAUCUUGAGAGUUUCAACAAAAAAACAUUCAACAAAAAUAUUUUUUCAUUGUUAAGCUACAUAGCCAAAAAAACAAGAAGAAAAAAAAUGAAAUAAAAAAGAGAGAAAAUUUAUCUGUUUGAGAAUUAAAGUAUUAUAAAAAAAAAUCAGAUUUUUUUGUGUUUCUUGAUUUCCAACAUCAACAAGGAAAAUCAAGAAGAGGGGAAAUUUGAAAAUUUUUCUAUUUACACAAAUUGAUCCUUUUUCCUUGUCUCAUCAGACCCAAUUUAUCUGGGUAUUGAUAAAUUCUUUUCUUUCUACAUCUUACUUCUAAAAAGUUGUUGCUAAUAGGGUUGUAUAUAUAAAUCCUAAAGGAUACAUCCAAAGGUAGUAAUUUGAGUGAAAAAAGGGCAAGAAAGGGUGAGAUAAAAAAAAGGAUC